UGUCAUGCUCAUUCUAAAGCCCAAGGGUUCUAAGGGACUGGGUUGCCUCUGUCGCAAUAGGAAGCCUUCAGAAAGACCCAAGAUUUCCUGAAGUCUCAGGGUAGGUAGGGAGAACAAGGAAAGGAACGGGCGCCCAACUCUCCCCAAGAUGGAUGCUCCAUGAUGUGGCUGCGGGGAGUUUGGAGGCUGGGGGAAGACAGGAGGAACCCUCACCUAAAUGGAGCCAGGCGUCCAUGGCACCAGGAGGAGAGAGCUGCUGCAGACACCUAUGGAGCACCUACUCUUAGCCAUUGUCUCUGCAAACACAGAGCAUUCAGGAGGAAGCAAUACAAAGGGCCUGUCUUCAGGAAGCUUGCAUUCUGGUGGGGCAGACCAACAACAAAUAAAUAUGUCAAAAUAUGUCAGUACACGUCAUAUACUAUUUAGGUGGAUAAGGUAGGGAACGGGAGAAUGGUUGACAGGAUGGAGAGAGUGUUGUUUUAUACAGAUGAUUCUGGAAGAUGACGUCAGAGAAGAGAUCUGAUAUAUACACGAGGCUAGGGUGUUCCAUGCCGUGUGUCAACGUCAUAAUCACACUUGCACUGCCCUCA